CACCACCAUGCCCAGCUAAUUUUUGUAUUUUUAGUAGAGACGGGGUUUCACCAUAUUGGUCAGACUGGUCUCAAACUCCUGACCACCAGGUGAUCCACCCGCCUCAGCCUCCCAAAGUGCUGGGAUUACAGGCGUGAGCCACUGCACCCAGCCUUCAUUGUUAUAUGUUCAUUAUAUCACUUAUAAUGUAUUAUGUUUAUAACAUAUAAUGUUUGUAAGUAUUAUUGAUAGGUUUGGCUGUGUCCUCACCCAAAUCUCAUCUUGAACUGUAGGUCUCAUAAUUUCCACAUGUCAUGGGAGGGAGGGGGACUCAGUGGGAGGUAAUUGAAUCACGGGGGCGGGUUUUCCCAUGCUGUUCUAGUGAUAGUGAAUAAGUCUCAUAAGAUCUGACGGUUUUACAAAGGGCAGUUCUCCUACACAUGCUCUCUUGCCUGCCACCAUGUAAGACGUGCCUUUGCUUCUCCUUCACCUUCCACCAUGAUUGUGAGGCCUCCCCAGCCAUGUAGAACGGUGAGAUUAAACCUCCUUUCUUUUAUAAAUUACCCAGUCUGGGGUAUUUCUUCAUAGCAGUGUGAGAACCGACUAAUACAAUUAUGUUCUUGAUGUUCAUUCAAGUAUAAAAAGUGCAUCCCUUUGGGUUCUCAUCCUAUUUCUGCCACUGACUGCUAAGUGAUCCUGGGCAAGUUCCUCAGGCUCUCUGAACCUUAUAAGCUGCAAGAUUGAGAGGUUGCUCUAGAUAACAAUAGCUAAAAUUUAUCAACUGCUUACUGUGUACUAAAUACUGACCUAAGUGCUUUACAUGAAUAAUUUCAUUUAAUCUCUAUGAAUUAGGUACUAUUAUUUCUUUCAUUUUACAGAUGAGGAAACUGAGGCCCAGAAAACUUGCUGAUGUUUCCUGAAAAAAUAGAAUCUAAGUCAAUGCUCUUGGGAGGUGCAAUUCUAGGGAUGUGGGAGUGAGGGGUAGGGGGAGUGAGGCAGGGAAGAUGGGAAGCAAAUGCAAGGCGAUGAGUUUCCACACUGGCUACCACUUUACUGUGAGCCAUGAAGCAGCACACCUGGUCUCAUGGCAGGAAUGGCUUCUUGGCCUUAGGGAACACUGGCUGCGUGGAAAAACCACACCUCAGAAUGAUCCAUGGGAGAGGAAAGGGGAGAGGGAGUUUGCUGCCAUCUCUCCCCUGUCUCUUGUCUCUACUGGCCCAAGUUUGUCCCAUAGGGAGUCGAGAAUGCCUUCCUCCUGGGUGGUGUCAUGCAGCCUCUUUAGCAGGCGCUGGGGAAGUUAGUUCCCAGGCCUUGUGGGUUGGCUGUUCAUCUGAGUCUGGAAGUGGUUGGAGGAGCCAUAACCCCAGAUAGGGAGCAGGUGUGUGGGCCACACACAGUAGCUGAGGCAAAACAGGCAGCUGAGGAGGCAGAUAAGGCUGAGAGAAGUCUGAUAUUCAUGGAUGGGUGUGGUGAGUAGUCAUUGAAAUGCAGACAACUGGGCUGGGCAUGGUGGCCCACACCUGUAAUCCCAGCACUUUAGGAGGCCGAGGCAAGCGGAUCACUUGAGGUCAAGAGUUCGCAACCAGCCUGGGCAACAUGGUGAAACCUCAUCUCUACUAAAAAUGCAAAAAUUAGCCUGGCAUGGUGGCGUGCGCCUGUAAUCCCACUACUCAGGAGGCUGAGGCAGGAAAAUCACUUGAACCCAGGAGGAGGAGGCUGCAGUGAGCCAAGAUCAAGCCACUGCCCUCCAGCCUGGGCAACAGAGCAAGGCUCCAUCUCAAAAAAAAAAAAAAAAAAAAAUUGCAGACAACUGGACUCUAGGGCCAGACCACUAGCAAUAUGCUGCACAUCUCUGAGAGCCCUUAGGUAUAGAAAAAAUAUUAUUAUUAUUUUUUGAGACAGGAUCUCACUUUGUUGCCCAGGCGGAGUGCAGUGGUACGAUCACAGCUCACUGCAGCUUCGACCUCUGGGCUCAAGUGGACUACAGGCAUGUACCAGCAUGCCUGGCUGAUCUUUUUAAUUUUUUGUAGUGAUGGAGUCUUGCUAUAUUUUCCAGGGUGGUCUCGAACUCCUGAGUUCAAGCGAUCUUCCUGUCUCAGCCUUCCAAAGUGUUGGAAUUACAGGUGUGAGUCACUGUGCCUGCCAGAAGAAUGUUUAUGGUCAGUGCCUGUUCCUUUGUGCAAGUCCAGACCGGUUUGUCCUCGCAUCCCUUCCUUGCCCUUCCUCUGCUCCACGGCCUCCUGCAGGGAGCUGAUCCCUGACGUCUCCUAGGUUCCCAGGUCAGCUGGCUGCUGGCUGGACUCUGGCCAGGCCAGCGGUGCACCAGUUGGAGGUGGGGGCAGCACUUCCAGAUGCAGCUCCAGGGCCUGCUGGACAGGCCCCCUGUGAUUCUGCCUUCUUCUAGGCUGUAGUGACAUCACCCCUGUCCUUUGUCCCUCCUGCCUGGAGGUGUCAAUGACUUCUGACUGGGGUCUCCCUGCCCCUCAUGGGCUUCUCAACUUCUUCUGUCACAUAUGUAACCAUUUCUCUGAAUAAAUUCCCUUUGUUUAAAACAGUGCUACCUACUUCCCCGGUGGGCCUUGGACAGAACUGUCGGUAGGGAGUUUCAUUAGGAAGGGACUCCAGGAAUGGCAGUGGUGUCUGAGUAAAAGCAGGAUGGAGGGAGAGUGAGUCCAAGGCAGUAUUCUCAAGCCAGUCACUGCUGUGGGCCCUAGGAAGCCACCCCACUGGGGACUCUGAGUCACUGGGGAGAACAGCCCUCAGCAUUGUCUGACAGCCCCAACUGCUCGAGACGUGCCCAAAGGUGAGGAACUCCCUAGUACUUCCAGGUUUUCACACAAAUCUGAAUGGCUCAAUGGGACCCCACAGGGAUCCCCAGGCCCCGAUAGAUGCUAGAGAUUCGACAGGAGGCUGAGGGGAGGGAUGGAUGGGGUAUCAGCCGAACCCACUGCCACAGCAAUAACUGAAGUUUAAACAAAAUGAAAAAGGAUGGGCAGGGGGUGGGAGACAGGCCCAGAGGUGUCUGGGAUGCUGAGCUCCCCUCUGCUGGGGCCUUUCUCAUGGCUCUCUUUUCCUCUCAGUCUUCACUCUUUCUGAGCAAUCUCUUACACACCCCGGGGUUUCAACAACUAUCUACAUGAUAUGGGAGGAUCAGAGUUUGCUUU
rnacentral:lncRNA from 10 species